UGAAUACGAGAUGCUACGGCGUCGAAGCAGUCUAUGUCAUACUUCCAAGAAAAGCUCGCACUGUCAUAAACAAAUAAUGCCUGUACCAUAACCGACACAGGUGGGUAGGUAGAGUAUACUAAGGGGCGCGAGAUAACUCUCUCUAAGGAACUCGGCAAAAUGACUCCGUAACUUCGGGAGAAGGAGUGCCUUAUUUAUAAGGUUGCAAUAACAAGAUCCAAGCAACUGUUUAUCAAAAACACAGGUCUCCGCUAAGUCGUAAGACGAUGUAUGGGGGCUGACGCCUGCCCAGUGCCAGAAGGUUAAAGAAGUUGGUUAGCAUUCGCGAAGCUGAUAACUGAAGCCCUGGUGAACGGCGGCCGUAACAAUAACGGUCCUAAGGUAGCGAAAUUCCUUGUCGGGUAAGUUCCGACCCGCACGAAAGGCGUAAUGAUUUGGAUACUGUCUCGGAGAGGGGCUCGGUGAAAUAGACUUGUCUGUGAAGAUGCGGACUACCUGCACCAGGACAGAAAGACCCUAUGAAGCUUUACUGUAACUUGAGAUUGAAAUUGGACUUUACUUGCGCAGUAUAGGUGGGAGGCGUUGAUAAUAUUCUUGCGGGAUUAUUUGAGCCAUCAGUGAGAUACCACUCUUGUAAUGUUAGAUUUCUAACUUUGUAUCAUUAUCUGGUCAAAGGACAGUUUCAGGCGGGCAGUUUGACUGGGGCGGUCGCCUCCUAAACGGUAACGGAGGCGCACAAAGGUUUCCUCUGAACGGGUAGAAAUCGUAUCUAGAGUGUAAAGGCAUAAGGAAGCUUGACUGUGAGACCUACAAGUCGAGCAGGGACGAAAGUCGGUCUUAGUGAUCUGACGGUGCUGAGUGGAAAGGCCGUCACUCAACGGAUAAAAGUUACUCUAAGGAUAACAGGCUGAUCUCCCCCAAGAGUUCACAUCGACGGGGAGGUUUGGCACCUCGAUGUCGGCUCAUCGCAUCCUGGGGCGGUAGUACGUCCCAAGGGUUGGGCUGUUCGCCCAUGAAAGCGGUACGCGAGCUGGGUUCAGAACGUCGUGAGACAGUUCGGUCCAUAUCCGGUGUAGGCGUUAGAAUAUUGAGAGGAGCCUUCUUUAGUACGAGAGGACCGAGAAGGACAUACCUCUGGUGUACCAGUUAUCGUGCCAACGGUAAACGCUGGGUAGCUAUGUAUGGAGUGGAUAACCGCUGAAAGCAUCUAAGUGGGAAGCCCACCUCAAGAUAAGUAUUCGC
rnacentral:rRNA from 1 species